UAACUGUCGAUGGCAAAAGAAUUCCC
rnacentral:piRNA from 1 species